GAGGAAAGAGGGAGGCGUGCUUAACACAUGCAAGUCGAACGGAAAGGCCCUGCUUUUGUGGGGUGCUCGAGUGGCGAACGGGUGAGUAACACGUGAGUAACCUGCCCUUGACUUUGGGAUAACUUCAGGAAACUGGGGCUAAUACCGGAUAGGAGCUCCUGCUGCAUGGUGGGGGUUGGAAAGUUUCGGCGGUUGGGGAUGGACUCGCGGCUUAUCAGCUUGUUGGUGGGGUAGUGGCUUACCAAGGCUUUGACGGGUAGCCGGCCUGAGAGGGUGACCGGCCACAUUGGGACUGAGAUACGGCCCAGACUCCUACGGGAGGCAGCAGUGGGGAAUAUUGCACAAUGGGCGGGAGCCUGAUGCAGCAACGCCGCGUGCGGGAUGACGGCCUUCGGGUUGUAAACCGCUUUCGCCUGUGACGAAGCGUGAGUGACGGUAAUGGGUAAAGAAGCACCGGCUAACUACGUG
rnacentral:rRNA from 1 species